rfam:Gossypium hirsutum cultivar TM-1 unplaced genomic scaffold scaffold413.1, whole genome shotgun sequence
UGUUAAAAAUUUCAUCAAUUUUUACUCUUAAAAGCUGGCAUAGAUAAUAGAAUAACUAGAUUAUUACAUUUGGCAUGCCACGUGCACCUAUUUUACAUAUAGGGGUCAGUUUUUAGUAAUAGAAUUGGAUGAAAAUUUUAACA